AUGUUUCUUUCUAUUCCAGAGAAGAAUGAUGAAAUCAUACCACCAGCUGUAGCCAUCUUUUCACCAUCAAAACAAGAGAUACAACAAAAGAGCAAGGCCACACUGGUUUGCCUGGCUUCUGGUUUCUUUCCUAACUACCUCAGCCUAGUCUGGAAAGUGAACGGCGCUCAGAGAACAGAAGGGGUGGGGACUGAUGAGUCUGCCACGUGGAAUGGCAGUACCUACUCGUUAACCAGUCGACUGAGGAUCUCAUCCCAGGAAUGGUUCAACCCUUUGAAUCAUUUUGAGUGUGUUGCCACGUUCUUUAAGAAUGAGACACUGGAAUCAAUACACAAGUUCAUCAUUGGUGAUGCUGGUUGUGCUAUCUUCAAAGAAAACUAUCAGAGAAGUGCUAUAGCUGGGAAGAUUGUGUACAUUAUGCUCAUUUUCAAGAGCAUGUUGUAUGGGAUAUUUGUGAUUGGACUGAUACUCAGGUCCAAGAAAAUGUAUUAGAUGUGCUUUGCCUUGAAAGAUCAGGCCUGAAGAAGAGGGUGGAGAUACGCUGCAAGUGGAAAGCUCAAC